AGUAUUAAAAUAUGCUUCACUGUCAAAUAGUGAUUAUAUCAAAGCUCUAGCUAUAAUGGCAUCUAAAAAACAUCAUGAUUGGAAAGCUUAUUAUGCAUGCAAGCUUUUGUGCUCGCUUCUGCGACAAGGGGGGAAACAGAAACGUUCUGCUCCAGAAGUAGCCAAUGAAAUCAUUCGGAUAUGCAGUGCUGAGCAUGGACUGCAAGAUGUUGCAGAAAAGUUGGAGUCCCCUUAUCCGGUAAUUUUAAUACAGGGGAUUGAGGG